rnacentral:lncRNA from 1 species
UAUCCACCAAUAACCUAAUACUUAGAUCUAUCCAACUUUGCGUUUAGUAUCAAGCCUUGUGUGUAUGGUAUGGAAUCUUUGUGAUCUAAAUAUUUCUUAUUUGGGUCAAUCCAUUGACCAUUUGUCUUGUUGAAGCAAGAACAAUUACACAUCACGCUCUGUUGAAUGUUUACGUAAACCGAAUGAACUGAUACAUUACAGGUCAUAU